rnacentral:lncRNA from 1 species
GGGUGAGCAACACAUGCUGUAUAUUUCCAUCCAAAUAAAAGACAUUCAUUUUGAAGACCCUGGAACAGCUGUAACUUGAGACUCCCACAAAUGCUUGGAAAACUGUCAGUCCUUUCUGAGUGGCAGUAGAUAUAGAAGCAAGAAUGCCAAAUAAUGUAGACAGCUGAAGAGGUUCAUCUCCAAGAGAGAAUACAUAACCAUCAUGAGGGGUUGCCAGUACAGGAUCCUGUGAUUGUGAACCUCUCUAGAGUCCCAGAAAUGAGGAAAAGGCAGAUCCAAGAUGAAACAAUGGAGCAAGGAGUAAAAAGCAAACCAACGGCCACUGUUUGGCAAGUAUGAGUUUCUGAGUUAGGUGCUAUGUAGUGCUUUCUUUGCCAUGGUGAAGUGAAUCCAUGUCCGAGAAUGGGCUAAAGGGCUAACAUUUCUUUUUAAUUGCAGGCGCUGUGCUGAGUACAUUGAAUGCAUCAUAUCCUUAGCUGUUACAGGAUUCAGCCCUUUUAGGAGACAGACAUCACCCAACAGGGUGAACUAGACCUCGUGUGAAAGGAAAGUCCUUACUUCCUAAGCAUUCACAGCUCCCAUUUCACACACUACUCUUGAUCUCUUUCUUCUGAUCUGCCUCAGUGAUAUUCCACCACUUACCACUCCAGUUUUGUUGUAACAACUGGCCAUCUCCCAAAAGCUUCCAACCUCCUCUCCCCUUCUGCCUGAUAGUUCCAAGUAUAGAACCCCACCCUCACCCUUGCUGACUUACUCUGUGGGUCAUUCACACUAAAUUUUCAAGGUGGCCCCGACAUCAUAUAUUUGUUGGUUCCAUAGAACUGGCAUUCUCUGAGGUAAAUAGUUAUCACAGUUUUAUAUCUAGGUUUCCAAGAAGUAAAGGACCUUUUCAAGAGACAUAUAUCUAGAUAUAAUUAACAUGAAUAUGGAGUUAAACCCAAAGCCUGAUUAUAAAUUCACCAGACACUAUCGUAGAUUAAUAUGCACGAAGCCCUUGUAAGUCCUUGAAAAUUUGGCAAAUCAAGAUUGAAUUUUUGGUUUAGUUGAUAAAGAAAUUGCAGCCUGAUGAUAUUCCUGGGUGAUGCUCUUUCCUGAAUUUUGAGUUCAGAAAAGAAGAAUGAAAUUUAAGGAUACAAGGAAACUGACUCAUUAUGAAGAUUUGUUCUGUUUUUGAGAAUGGUGCUUCCCAGAAUUGUGCAAUAUGCCACAUAAGCAGUAUUGCCUCAUGGCCCUGAAAAGAAAGGAAUAAAUACAAACUUCAUUUAAAAUAGA